rnacentral:rRNA from 1 species
UACGGGGGGGGCAAGCGUUGUUCGGAAUUACUGGGCGUAAAGGGUUCGUAGGUGGCUAGCUAAGCCAGACGUGAAAUCCCUCAGCUUAACUGGGGAACUGCGUCUGGGACUGGAUAGCUUGAGUGCAGGAGAGGAACGCGGAAUUCCAGGUGUAGCGGUGAAAUGCGUAGAUAUCUGGAGGAACACCGGUGGCGAAGGCGGCGCUCUGGACUGCAACUGACACUGAGGAACGAAAGCCAGGGGAGCAAACGGG